GAUGAACGCUAGCGGCAGGCUUAAUACAUGCAAGUCGUGGGGCAGCAUGUCCCGCAGCAAUGCGGGAUGAUGGCGACCGGCAAACGGGUGCGGAACACGUACACAACCUUCCUUUAAGUGGGGAAUAGCCCAGGGAAACUUGGAUUAAUACCCCGUAAUAUAUAGAAGCGGCAUCGCUUUUAUAUUAUAGCAGCAAUGCGCUUGAAGAUGGGUGUGCGGCUGAUUAGGUAGUUGGCGGGGUAAUGGCCCACCAAGCCGACGAUCAGUAACUGGUGUGAGAGCACGACCAGUCACACGGGCACUGAGACACGGGCCCGACUCCUACGGAAGGCAGCAGUAAGGAAUAUUGGUCAAUGGACGCAAGUCUGAACCAGCCAUGCCGCGUGGAGGAUGAAGGUCCUCUGGAUUGUAAACUUCUUUUAUCUGGGAAGAAAUCCAUUUUUUCUAAAAUGGUUGACGGUACCAGAUGAAUAAGCACCGGCUAACUCCGUGCCAGCAGCCGCCGUAAAAC
rnacentral:rRNA from 1 species